rnacentral:rRNA from 1 species
UACGUAGGGUCCGAGCGUUGUCCGGAAUUAUUGGGCGUAAAGGGCUCGUAGGCGGUCUGUUGCGUCGGGAGUGAAAACUUACAGCUUAACUGUGAGCGUGCUUCCGAUACGGGCAGACUUGAGGUAUUCAGGGGAGAACGGAAUUCCUGGUGUAGCGGUGAAAUGCGCAGAUAUCAGGAGGAACACCGGUGGCGAAGGCGGUUCUCUGGGAAUAUCCUGACGCUGAGGAGCGAAAGUGUGGGGGAGCGAACAGG